rnacentral:lncRNA from 1 species
GAGUACCCUGCUGGGGUGACAGUGAAAUUGUGCUGGAGGAAGAGGUGCCAGUAACAGCAGUCCCUUACAGAUGAAAGAGGGCGUAUAUCUCAAAAUUAAAAAAAAAAAAGGAUAAAAAAUUAGCCUUGAGUUCUCCACCAGCCAGUGUGUGCGAGGAUUUUCAGGACACGAUUAUCACGGACAACUACUGAGAAUUAUCACAAAGAGGACAGGUCAAUCGUGUGAAGAAUGAGUCUACUUCAAAGGAGACAGGAAGAACAAAGAGGUGAGGUGGAAGAUGGGUCCCCCAGGCUCUACACCAGGGACAGAAUGGCUGCCUGCUGCUCUGGAGUCUGCUCCAGCAAGUAUCGGGCAAAGGCCUGCUCCAUCUGUAUUGGAAGAGAUGGAGAAGAGCAUCUCAGUGCGUGCAUCAGGGACAGACACCACCCCCAGGAGCUCCUUCCCCACUGGGAGACCCCCUUUGCCUCCUGGAGCACCACUGUCUCUGCUCUCAUUAGAUGGGUACUCUACCCCUGCUCCGA